rnacentral:rRNA from 1 species
UACAGAGGUCUCAAGCGUUGUUCGGAUUCAUUGGGCGUAAAGGGUGUGUAGGUGGCGCGCUAAGUCGGGUGUGAAAUUUCGGAGCUUAACUCCGAAACUGCAUUCGAUACUGGCGUGCUUGAGGACUGGAGAGGAGACUGGAAUUCAUGGUGUAGCAGUGAAAUGCGUAGAGAUCAUGAGGAAGACCAGUGGCGAAGGCGGGUCUCUGGGCCGGAACUGACGCUGAGGAGCGAAAGCGUGGGUAGCAAACAGG